rnacentral:lncRNA from 1 species
GUGAGCCCAAAAUACAAUUACAUGUAUCCUUGUAAGAGAGACGACAAAGGAGUGUCAACAAGCUCACACAGGGGAGAAGGCCAUGUAAAAUGAUUAAAGUGAUGCAGCUAUAAGCCAAGGAACACCUGGAGCCACUAGAACUGCAGUAAGUCUGAGCACUGCUUGACUGGACCUUGAGGCUGGCUCCCUGGAUUCUGUGGCUUCAGUCUGGGCAGGUGGCAUUUCUGAUGGCAACUGUGUGUUCUGUGGGGCCCCAGCUUCUGUUGUGUGACUCCCAGGCUUGGGGAAACCUGUCUCCUCCCUGUAUCUCUGCAGCCCAGGCAUGGUGAUGGCUUCUUGCUGUGUUAAACUCUGUGUUAUCUCAGUUCCCUGCUUGUCUCUCAGCCCUUCCAUCACCUGAGUAAACCUUCCCUGCUUUAAAUAUUCAGAAUGAAUUCCCAGGUCCCUGUGACCUGAAGGGUGGGUUACUCUAGUGAGCUUCUAGCUCUAUGAGGAGCACAUGUUCACUAUGUCCAAAUACUCCAACAGCCAGGUCCUGGGAUUCAUCCAGGUGCCAGUUCUGUGCUAGGCAUCUCACACAGAUCUCAUGUAGCCAUUGCAAUGACCCUUUGCAUUUGUUAUUGUCCCAUUUUGAAAAUACCUAAAUGAUGAGAAACUUGCAUUUCCAAGAUGCUAAAUAACUAUGCGCCCUUUCUACCAUUAGCCAAUACUAGGGAUACUAACAAUAGAUCCCUUUGACAUUAUAAAUAUAUCUUCCUCAUAUUAGGGACUUUCUACUUACUAGCAGAAACUAUGGGCUCCUCUUGGCAUUGAUGAGCAUUUACGUGAUGCUCACGUUAAUUUGGCGCCACUAAUGCCUUAGUUUAUCUGGCUUUUCUCCAUUUAACAGAGCUGAAGAUAGGGGCGGUAAGUGCCUCUUAAAGUGAGCAUGUGCAAUCAAAUAUGCACAAGCUCAUGAACCGAGAAAACAACAUCGUGAAAUGUACCAUGCAUUUAGUAUCUAAGAGUGCUUUGUAGUGGUUUUAAUAGCUGGAGACUCCAGAAUUCCACAGAGCCCAGGAAAUUGUAUUAUUUCAUCCAGGUCAUUAGGAACCAAGGGUUAUUAGUCAUUAAUCCACUUAGGAACUGCUCAGACCAGACAAUUCACUUUGCUUCUCAGAGAUGCUCCUCUGGAUGAUGGUCCCAGGUGCAGUUAGCAUUGCCUUCUGCUCUGGUGGGGAGGGGCAGAUGCUGUGGAAAAGAGCCCUGCCUGGAGGCCAGCCUGAGCUCCAUGCUGGUGAGGUGCAAUGGGUGUUUUGGAAAAACAAACAAAUGGGAAACAUGUGGCAGUGGAGAAGAAAUUCUGAAAUUUGGAUUUCCCACUUUCCAGGGAUGUCAGUGUUUUUCCAUUUCUUCUCCUGGUGCACAUAAAAAGAUUCUUCUGUUUUGAAUGUGUUAAGUAAUCAGGGGCCUAGAAGCAUGAAACCUCAGGAAACCUAGUAGGGUAUUUUAAAGAACCAGCUUGAUACAAGACUGUUGCUUUCCUCUAUGUAUGACAUGGUAGGAAAAUAAUAAAUCAGCUUCUCGUGUGCCAGAACCAGAACACCUUAAGUAUCAGUAACCCCAUUGUCUAAACUGUGACUGCCACAUAGCAAGUGCUCAAUAAAUAUUUGUUGUGUGAAGAAAGGAAUUGAAUCACCUUGCCAACUUUAAGAAAUACACCUGAUUUUCCUCUUUCCUUCAGUCUUCCCUCUAUC